rnacentral:ncRNA from 1 species
ACCAUUCCGAUGAAAAGGAAAGUAAACUUGGAUGCUUUAUAGAGAGACUCUGGUUGGUGAAAAGAGUUAAGUUCAAAAAAGUUGAAAAUGGCCUUGGAGGAAAGAAUAUCGAUACGUAGGUAUUCUCGGAGCGUUCUACCGUUAAAAGGAACACCAAUUUUUCUCAAGAGAACUGUUGGGCUGAGGGAAGGCAACUUCCGAACAAAGGUGGUAACACGAUUUAUUCGUCCUUUUA